UACGGGGGGAGCAAGCGUUGUUCGGAUUUACUGGGCGUAAAGGGCGCGUAGGCGGCCUGUGCAAGUCAGUUGUGAAAUCUCCGAGCUUAACUCGGAACGGUCAACUGAUACUGCUCGGCUAGAGUGCGGAAGGGGCAACUGGAAUUCUUGGUGUAGCGGUGAAAUGCGUAGAUAUCAAGAGGAACACCUGAGGCGAAGGCGGGUUGCUAGGCUGACACUGACGCUGAGGCGCGAAAGCCAGGGGAGCAAACGGG
rnacentral:rRNA from 1 species